rnacentral:miRNA from 1 species
UCAGGUACCAAGUGAUUUCUGA